UGAGAGAAGGAGAGAGCCUAG
rnacentral:misc_RNA from 1 species